rnacentral:tRNA from 1 species
GGGCGAAUAGCUCAAUUGGUAGAGCACUUCCUUUACACGGAAGGGGUUGGGGGUUCGAGUCCCUCUUCGCUCA